rnacentral:rRNA from 1 species
UACGUAGGGGGCAAGCGUUGUCCGGAAUCAUUGGGCGUAAAGCGCGUGUAGGCGGCCAGGUAAGUCCGUUCUGAAAGCCCGGGGCUCAACCCCGGGAGGCGGAUGGAUACUGCUUGGCUCGAGUCCGGAAGAGGUGAGUGGAAUUCCCGGUGUAGCGGUGAAAUGCGCAGAUAUCGGGAGGAACACCUGUGGCGAAGGCGGCCCCCUGGUCGGAUACUGACGCUGAGACGCGAAAGCGUGGGGAGCAAACAGG